rnacentral:lncRNA from 1 species
GUGUAAACUGUAGGUAUAGUGUCCCCAAUAAGAAAGAAAACAGGAGGCACAAUCCAAAGUGCUCUUUAUACACACACACACACAUACACACAUACACACACACACAAAAUUAAAAACAAGAUUCCAAUUUGUUGGAAAUUCUUCCAACAAGAGGAAUCACUCUAGGUUGUUACUAAAUUUAUUGGUUUUAUUUCUUUUCUUUUCUAGCCAAUACUGGUGCAAGAAAAUAUUUCAGUUCUCAACCUGGUAAUGUACUGCAGAGUCUGUUCCACCGGGAAGAAACGCGGAGAGGCACUGCUCUGCUGCCUCCGUCCAGAAUAAAGCGAUAGAGAUCUUUUUUAAAAAAGAGUAUAUUGGUGAUCACCGUUUCCCUUAAAAUAUACUUCAAGAAAUGCAGAGGAAACCAUAGAAUUUAAAAAUGAAAAUAAAAAGUGCUCUCAGGGGAUCUGAGAAAACAGCACCAAAUAUAUUAUUUAAAAAAUUAAAUAUUAUUUACAAAAGUAUAUUUCAUAAGCAACUGUUUCUUUUAUAUAUAUCUGCUUGCAAAUCUCUUUAUAAAGGGGACAGCUCUUUUUCACACACUGAUCCACCGCCAGUAAAGAUUUCCUCUAACCUAUCUCCAUGAUCGUACUGUCAUAGGAGUUGGGGCAGCACUCAGGCUCAGCUGACAUUCUCUGGGCAUCAGGUUUUGGCUGUAUGUGAUUCACGUCAAAUCAACCCAUCAGCAGCCUGAGACAAAUAUCCUGGGGGCUUGGGUGUAAUCCAGGGCCGCCAAGGCCAUAUGACCUAGGGUGGCACAGAGGAGAUGGAACUAGAGAGUCUGCCGGCUGGACUUCAGUUGAAAGUGAAGGCAGCUGCUGGCUGAGGUCCCAUCUCCAAGGAAGAACAGUGGCACAUCGGUCUCCUGUGCCCCUUGAAAAUUCUAGGGUCCCCCAUGUCUGGUUUAUAUGUCACCACACUCAUUUUUAGUUUUAAAGACAAAACAGCUACCCAUGUUUAAGCCCCAUUUUCUUUUUAUAGAAAGGAGCAUCCAUAGCCAGGACAUUCCCUGAGCAAAGGGGCCAACCAAAAUCCACAAACGAAGGCCACUACCUUCAGGGGGCACAGAGAAGGGAAUCUAUGAUUUCUGUGCUGGCAAGCCAGCUUAGGAAUGUG